AGAUCAUUAGCUCAAAUGGUAGAGCACUUGAGAAUAGUUGUGUACUAGUACAUGUCAAGAGAUGGUGGUUCAAGUCCAUCAUGAUCCU